rnacentral:rRNA from 1 species
CCUACGGGGGGCAGCAGUGGGGAAUAUUGGACAAUGGGGGCAACCCUGAUCCAGCCAUGCCGCGUGUGUGAAGAAUGCCUCGGGUUGUAAAGCACUUUCAGUGAGGAAGAACGCCUGGUGGUUAAUACCCAUCAGGAAAGACAUCACUCACAGAAGAAGCACCGGCUAACUCCGUGCCAGCAGCCGCGGUAAUACGGAGGGUGCGAGCGUUAAUCGGAAUUACUGGGCGUAAAGCGCGCGUAGGUGGCUUGAUAAGCCGGUUGUGAAAGCCCCGGGCUCAACCGUGAACGGCAUCCGGAACUGUCAAGCUUGAGUGCAGGAGAGGAAGGUAGAAUUCCCGGUGUAGCGGUGAAAUGCGUAGAGAUCGGGAGGAAGACCAGUGGCGAAGGCGGCCUUCUGGACUGACACUGACGCUGAGGUGCGAAAGCGUGGGUAGCAAACAGGAUUAGAUACCCUAGUAGUC